GAUGAACGCUGGCGGCGUGCCUAAUACAUGCAAGUCGAGCGAACGGACGAGAAGCUUGCUUCUCUGAUGUUAGCGGCGGAAGGGUGAGUAACACGUGGAUAACCUACCUAUAAGACUGGGAUAACUUCGGGAAACCGGAGCUAAUACCGGAUAAUAUUUUGAACCGCAUGGUUCAAAAGUGAAAGACGGUCUUGCUGUCACUUAUAGAUGGAUCCGCGCUGCAUUAGCUAGUUGGUAAGGUAACGGCUUACCAAGGCAACGAUGCAUAGCCGACCUGAGAGGGUGAUCGGCCACACUGGAACUGAGACACGGUCCAGACUCCUACGGGAGGCAGCAGUGGGGAAUCUUCCGCAAUGGGCGAAAGCCUGACGGAGCAACGCCGCGUGAGUGAUGAAGGUCUUCGGAUCGUAAAACUCUGUUAUUAGGGAAGAACAUAUGUGUAAGUAACUGUGCACAUCUUGACGGUACCUAAUCAGAAAGCCACGGCUAACUUCGUG
rnacentral:rRNA from 1 species